GCCUUCGUGGCUUAGUCGGGAGAACACACGACUGUGCUGCGGUAGGAUUCGGGUUCGAGUCCCUUUGAAGGCA